UGGGAUUCGAAUUUCGUACCAAGAGACUUUUUUGUAGGUAUUGGUGUGUUACAUGUGUGUACCGAUUUUUGUACAUGUACGUGAAACGUAGCUCGAGGCGCACUCCGCUGAAAUUGUAUAGGUGGCGCUAUCGAGGCAUUUUGCCACACCCGAUGGAAUAUUGGCCUUCAGAUUUGUUCAGGCCAGGACUCUUAUCAAACAUGUGAAGUUUGGGCAAGAUCGGACAUUUUAUGCCUGAGUUACAAUAACUUUUAUUCCCAUGGCGAGACAUCGAACUUUGUGACGGCGCCAUGGCCACGCCCUUUAACGAAAACUCAAGAUCUUCACAAUUUAACAUCGCACAGGCCUUUAGAAUAGAGUGACUGAAAAAAAAAAAUUAUGUCAUAAAAUUUCUCGGGGUAGUUUGUUACAG
ensembl:lncRNA